AGCACCUCUAUGAGUUUUUGUUUAAUAUGUGGACAAGACUUUGAGACAGGUGCUAAACCUAAGUCCCUUUUGCAAGCUAGAAAUCAUUACUCUUUGUUCUAUAUGAGUUUUGAUACAGAUAAGAAAGAGCACU
ensembl:snoRNA